GAUGAAGAACGUAGCGAAAUGCGAUAAGUAGUGUGAAUUGCAGAAUUCAGUGAAUCAUCGAAUCUUUGAACGCACAUUGCGCCCCUUGGUAUUCCAUGGGGCAUGCCUGUUCGAGCGUCAUUUGUACCUUCAAGCUCUGCUUGGUGUUGGGUGUUUGUCUCGCCUCUGCGUGUAGACUCGCCUCAAAACAAUUGGCAGCCGGCGUAUUGAUUUCGGAGCGCAGUACAUCUCGCGCUUUGCACUCAUAACGACGACGUCCAAAAGUACAUUUUUACACUCUUGACCUCGGAUCAGGUAGGGAUACCCGCUGAACUUAAGCAUAUCAAUAAGCGAGGA
rnacentral:misc_RNA from 1 species